rnacentral:tRNA from 1 species
UGUGAAGUGCCUGAAAUCAAAGGAUAAUUUUGAUAGAAUUAAUCAUGUGUCUUACACCUUCAUAAAGAAAAACCCAAAGAAUA